AAGAAUCUUGCAGUAAAUGAUAAGAUUAUCUUUCUUGAAGAAAAGAUGGAAAACCAAGCUCCAGGAAUCCGCAGGAUCACAAUCCAAGUCAAGAGAAAAAUCAGGUUGUUUGGCAACGAUAUUUGGGUUGAUGUAUGAUGUAAUUGUGCGUAUCUGCCAUCACUGCUACUCAGAAUAGUGUUUGAUUUUAUCCCCAAAACUAUAAGAUUUUGCAUUUUAGUAGAAAAGAAAAAGAAAACUAUGGCCGUAGUUUUCUUGGUUGU
rnacentral:misc_RNA from 1 species